CAGCUCUCCGAGUGGUAGGGAUGAUUAUUGGGCUUAAAGCGUCCGUAGCCGGCUUAGCAAGUCUCCUGUUAAACUCAGCGACCUAAUCGUUGAAUCGCGGGAGAUACUACUAGGCUAGGAGGCGGGAGAGGUCGACGGUACUUCUGGGGUAGGGGUGAAAUCCUAUAAUCCCGGGAGGACCACCAGUGGCGAAGGCUGUUGACUAGAACGCGCUCGACGGUGAGGGACGAAAGCUGGGGGAGCGAACCGGAUUAGAGACCCGAGUAGUCC
rnacentral:rRNA from 1 species